ensembl:lncRNA SNHG1 small nucleolar RNA host gene 1
GUUACUCUUUUGUACUUUGUCUUUUUCUUUUAUUUUCUUUUGAGCGAUUGUGCGAACAUAGCAUAGCACGCACUAUGCCUUCUGUGUUGUAGCUGCCUGGCCAGGGCGACUGGCGGAUAAGGUCUUGUGCGUGGCCUCGAGGCUUAAAAGUAGCAGUGGGGCUUUGUGAAGGACAAAAUGGCGAUGGCGGGCCGUGUAGGUCCCCCUUCCUAUGAUGAGGACCUUUUCACAGACCUGUACUGAGCUCCGUGAGGAUAAAUAACUCUGAGGAGAUGGGCCCUGCAAGCCUCUUGCUUAGCCGUCUGUUCAGAAAAUAGCGUUUUCGAAAUGCCCUGAGUUGACCUAAUGUCUUAUUGGGCUCCUGUCUGCAGGAUUUACGCGCACGUUGGAACCGAAGAGAGCUCUGUUGUUGCAAUGUUCAGCCCACAAGAGCUUACUGGUGAAGGAAUGGGACAAGACCCAUCUUUAUGCAAAGCCAGCGUUACAGUAAUGUUCCAGCAUCUCAUAAUCUAUCCUGGGGAAUUCAGCUGCCUCCCAGGGUGAAUACAGGUAUUCCUGAUGACAGUCUGCCUCUAUCUUACAGAGCAGCUUGUUGCUAUAUACCAUUGAAAAGCCUUCAGAGCUGAGAGGUUAGUUGAUAUUUUUUGUUCCUUACAGCUUAUGCCACCAAGUAGGCAGUUUCUAUGAUGAAUCAAACUAGCUCACUAUGACCGACAGUGAAAAUACAUGAACACCUGAGAAACUGGAGAACGCAGGGAGUGGGGGGUAACCAUGUCUGAGGAAUCUUUCACCCACAGCUUUGUUUUUCUCUAGGUACUACUAACCAAUAACCUGCUUGGCUCAAAGGGCCAGCACCUUCUCUCUAAAGCCCAAGAGGAGUUUGAGGUAAAUGGCUUUGCAAUAGUUACCAUCAAUGGCUGCUAUAUAAAAUUUUCUGUGAUUUUUGUGUGUGAUAGCACUGUGGUCUGGGUGAAUGUACACAGACAUAACUGGCUUAACCCAAAGUCUUUGAUCUCCUGAACCACCAGUGAUGAAUUGCUGCUCACCAGUGAUGAGUUGAAUACCGCCCCAGUCUGAUCAAUGUGUGACUGAAAGGUAUUUUCUGAGCUGUGAGCCUGCCUUCCAGUGACAUGUUCUAAAAAUUGCAAGUUAUUUGAGGAGGCUUUACAGCCAAUAGGAAGUUCUUGGGCUAAGUAGUGUUUCCUAUAAAAUGUGCCCUGAAACUUCUUUCUGCCAAGCAAUAGAUACAAUUGAGAGAUUGUAAAAUGUGACAUAGAAUGAAAGUCUCUCAAGACUACAUUUUUCUUUCUUGAUUUUGCAGGAAAACUAGGUGUCUGUGUUCACUCCAGGCUGAAGUUACAGGUGAGUAAACCUAAAUGUAAGGUGGACUAUGCUAAAAAUUCCCAAUGAAGAAACUUUCACAUGUCUUACUCUCUGUCCUAGUCCCAGAGCCUGUAAAGGUGAACCCACUGGGACUGGCUGGGGGAGAAGAGGAAGAUUUGUUCCAGAAGGAACUGUCUGAGGGAUGAUAAAGAUUUCUAUACAGAGAAAGGGAGUAAUCAUCACUUGUUGAAAACAUUGGUUUUAUUUUUUCCAGGUCUGAGCAAAUAAGGUGUAUAAAAAAUGGAAUCUGUCUUGGAGGACAUCAGAAGGUGAAUUUUCCAAGUUCUUGGACAACCUAGCUGUUGAAAAGCUUUCUGGGUUUGGGGGGUAUUUCAGAUGUACCUUAAAGUGUUAGCAGACACAGAUUAAGACACUGGGAGCCAAUGAAACAGCAGUUGAGGGUUUGCUGUGUAUCACAUUUCUGUAUUUUAUCACCCCCUUCCUGCAACAUUAUUUAUCUGGAAUCUACCUGCCCUUUUGUUUUUUAGAUACAAGGGCUUGGUUUUGUUACCCAGGCUGGUUUCAAGGCCAUAGCUUUAAGAGAUCCUCUCACCACAGAUUUCCAAAGUGCUGGGAUUGCAGGUGUGAUUCAUGGCACCCAGACUUUGCUGCCUUUCUUACAUGAUCCAGGCCCAGAACCCAAACUCAGGCACUGUAUAGAUGACCACUUUCGUAAACUACUGACCUAGCUUGUUGCCAAUUGUUGAUUGAACUUCCCAUAACUCCACUUCGUGUCUGUUCCUCUGUAUACAGCCACCUUCUGUUCCCGUCAUGAGCCUUUAGGUCUCCAUUUGCAUAUUGCAAAUACUAUGUUCCAUGUAGGUAGCUCAUUCAGGGCCUUGCUCUUCACUUCAAAAAAGGUUCCCUUGAGGACUGGCUGUCAAUUUGUGUUGCUGUGUUGGUUGUUGAUGAAAAUAAUAAAAUGA